CAGGAUGGCUUCAACAAGCUUCAUGGUUUGGAGAGUUCACUUGCUUCAUUCCUAUCAAACCAUUGCAAGAACUGAAAGUAGUUUUGAUAUUGCUGAGGAUGACGAGGGUACAACUAGUCCUAGUUGGAAGGUUACUGGUCAAUUAGAUAUUGAGCAACAGUUUCUUACAAAGACUUACCAGGGGCCUUGGACCAAGAAACUGGAAGGAGUGACGGUGAGAAUUCGGGAAAAACUAUCUCUUGACCACGUCAUGCCAUUUCUGAGGGAUUCUCUACAGCCAAAAAAAUAAUCCAAGUGGAACUACAGUGGCCCAUUGUUGUAUUGCCAAAGGAGAGAGGCAAAUCAUUUUCAGCAGAGGAUACAUCAGGAGCAGCGGUCCAACACAAGAGACGCGUUAAAGUUACUUAAGCAGAACUGAG